CCGCAGUUCGGUGAUCCAUCCUCCCAUGGACUAGCAUUUAGAUGUCUCCUCCGAGUACCAGCUUCCGAAAGGAUUUCUCCUUUGCUGUCUCCUGAACACACGCUGCUCAGUCCGGUCCCUGCUCAGCCUCGUGCUUCCGAGGUGCUGCUCCUGCUCCUCUCCCACCAGCCAACUGCUCCCUCAGCUCUAUCCCAACCCAGGUGAAACACUCAUCAAAUCAGUGGAGUGAACCAGAGACCUGCAUGGGGAAGGAGUUUCAUCUUUAUUCGUAACCUAUUACCCUGACUCACACAAACCCGUUUGCAUCCUGACUGUCAAGACUUCAGUGUGUCAGCCUCGGAGGAACGCCUUCUGAACCCCCACCUACCACCAUGUUUCCACUCCAAACUACACAGAGCCUUCGCCUGCCCACCUCCAGUUACCAAGUGGCUCAUUCACCAAACGGAAAAUAAUUAAUGAGCAC
rnacentral:lncRNA from 1 species